AAAAAGGGGGAAACUAGUGGUUCAGGCUCAAAGUCCGUGUUGCUAUUCUCAUCAAUGUGUUCAAUCGUUCAACUAAUAGGUUUUUUCUUUUGGACACCGUUCUUGUUAGGAUUCAUUGACUCUUAUUUUUCUCUUCUUUUUUUUCAUGCGCUCCUUUGAGCACUCUUUUUGCCAGCCUCCAUUUUUCCAGAUGAGUGCUUUAUUUUGCUUAUCAUUUUU
rnacentral:lncRNA from 1 species